CAUCAGUUCCACUCUUCCAUUACAUUUUCUCCGUUGUCACACAGAAUAUAUUUUAAGUGCAAGACAGGGACAUACCUAUUUCAUUUCAGUAACUUUCUCCGCUCCCUCAAACAACUACACUGACAGAAACACUUAGGAAUUGGGUGCCUGGCCCUUCUCCUGUGCCAUUCUCUGGUUUCCAGCUGUAGACAGUCUCCCUUGCCAACUUCAGAUCAUUCAAGGGUCAGAGAAACAGAAAGAAAGCUGUUCUCCUUUACAUACUGCUAGAUCUUCAGUCGAUGUCAUUCAGACACUGUGAUUUUCUUUCCUCAUGGAGUGACACUGAUGCAAAAUCGGAAUUCAAUCUAUAUUCAGUUAUUUUUAAGAGCAAAGUCUCCAGACAACCAACUACUUGAGGAACCUCACAUAAGAAGAGCUGAGGGACAAGCUCAGUAGUUUUAUUUCCCUUUUUAC